rnacentral:lncRNA from 1 species
AGAGGCAAUCUCCCAAAUAGAUGGAUUCCACUUGGAAGGCACACUUGUGUCGAGUCAGGAGAAAGCUACCGGCCUCGACGACGGUUAGUAGAUUUGUGAUAGAAAAAUACAAGGUAAAUCCAGUGGGUUCCUUGUUUCUCCAUGACAAUCUUGGGUAGAAAAAUCUAGUGGUUCCUUAUUUCUCUCAGUCAAGACAGCCUCGGAAAACCCAGUAUUCGCAGGCAUCAAAUGUUAAACGACAAUUGAUGAUCGGAAAAAAAAAAAAAGUGGCCUUGUACACCGACGACGCCAAUAAUGGCACACGAGAAAAACAGGCUCUGACGAUCUUAACCAGCAGCAGCAGAUUCAUGUACUAUAUAUAAAUGAGCUACUCACAAUUGUCUGAGGGAGUAACAUUGCAUAGGAAGGGAAGUGGUAUAAAAGGAGUGCUUUGAGCCACCACCCAUUGAUACGAUUAAAGUGGAACGCGUGAUUGCAAACACCUAAGCAGAUGAGCAUAGAGUCAACAGAAAGAAUUGCACAGAAGACGGAGGCAGCGAAGCAUUUGAUGUUUGGAACAUAUACAAAGAAUGUAUGACUCACUGGCUGGCUCAAUGGACCCCUACUGCCAAAUCACAAAUAGAAAGCAACUGUUCAAACAUCUUAGAUAAAAAAAAAGAAAUAUAGAGAGAAAACAACUUUUACCAACUUUGAAACCAAACCAGAAUCGAAUGUGUUGGCUAGGUUAAGCCUUGACAGUUGUUCGUAAGGUCCUCGAAUCGAAUCCCGUCUUCACCUAUAUUACCAUUUGCAGAUUAAAAAAAAAAGAAAACAAUCAGAUUGUAUUAUGGAUGUAAUUUCAGUGGCAGCAUCAUACAUUGUGGCUGAUAAUUUCACUCGCAUGGCUCAGCUUCAACUAAAGCACAAAAAAUGACAGACAAAAUUAGACCAAUAAACAUUUACAAGUAAGUCUCUAUCACAAUGAUCUAAUGAAGCUUUUCCAAAUCCAUUUCUUAUAUAUCUCGAUCCGACAGGCAAAGGAACUGAAUGUACAAGCAACCAUGCUACCAUACCAAUGUAUAACCAAUUUUUAAUCAUUUAAUGCCGAAGUUUUUGUAUGCUUUUAGUUCAUAGUGUCGUUAUCUAUGUUUGAUAGAAUUCUAAUGCUGCCAAGAGAUUCAGUUGAUGCAAGAACAAAUAAAAUCGAUACAUCACAGAUUCAGUUGAGUUAAAACCCCAGUGAACUCAAACUCACUCGGCAGGCAGGACAUUGAUGGGUAACUAACUAACUAACUAACUAACUAACUAGGCAUCGAGAGUUUGGUCCAAAAUGAAUUCAAUGUUUCUAAAAUAGCGUUGGUCUCGGAGGCUCGAUCAGAAUUCUAAAUUAUGCUGGUUAAACUGUGGGACGAAUUGAUGUCUGAACCAAUAUUUGUGAGCAAACGAAUUCGAUCGAAACAGGAAACCUAUAAUAACACUAAUUUUCGGCAACAAAAUAGAAUGUUACGAUAUUGAGAUAAAUGACACUCUCGAGAAACAUACUAAUUUGCGGCAUACAAAAUUUUCAUGAAAGUUAAAACCAUAUAGGAGGAUCGUUCAAGACAAGAAAGCCGAAAAGAACUCGCAUCGCGCGAGUAACAAAACGUGAGGCAUACGCACUCGCGUGUAUAGGCUGGCGCUCAACGCCUGCUGCAAGGAGAUUUCAGAACCAAGAACAACCAGAUCUGAAAGUCCAACCAUAUACAUAAACCUAAAGAAUCACCAAAACAUGCGACCAAGACGGAGCAAAUCAAGAAAAUAUACAAGGGGAAAGGCAGGUCACAGAGGACCAGGAUGUGAUUCCCACAAUUAUCCACCACGACAUCAUAUCGGUCAAUCAAUUGGAAAGAUCCACGGAUAAAGAAUCAAGACCCCAAGUGAAACAAUCCAAUACAAAGUGCAAAGCGCCAUCGGCGAUCGGACACAUACCCCAGGCCCAGAGGGCGAUAGCAUUCCACUUGUUGAUCCCAAACGUGUUCCGCUUCUUCGAUAAGGACGACUACCCGGCGGCGCCACUGGACCGUUCGCGGGCCGGAACCAUGUUGAUGUCGGUGCGGAGGGAAGCCAUGGAUGGAAGCGAGGAGGAGGGUUUGGUGAUGCCGAGGAGGGGCACCGCAUGAUCGCCGAGCUUCUAAAUCAUUAUGAUAUGAAUAAUAAUAAUAUUAUUAUUAUUAAAGGGUUGUCAUGUGUUUGGGUCGUUUCACGUGAGUGAGAUGGACAUCGUACUUUGCCCAACAAAAAUUAUUUGAUGGCG